UUCCCUGUAGCGCAAUGGAUAGCUCGUUGGACUUCAAAUCCAAAGGUUGUAGGUUUGAACCCCACCUGGGAUG